CCCUUAGAUGUUCUGGGCCGCACACGCGCUACACUGGCAGGUUCAUCGAGCUUCAUGCCCUGAUCUGAGAAGAACGGGAAAUCUUUGAACACCUGCCGUGCUUGGGAUAGAUGUUUGCAAUUAUUCAUCUUCAACGAGGAUUGCCUUGUAAGCGCACGUCAUCAGCGUGCAUUGAAUACGACCCUGUAUUCUGUACACACCGCCCGUCGCUCCUACCGAUUGAAGUUUUCGGUGAAUUUACUGGAGGUCCCUUUUGAAGGUGGUUCGCCACUGGAAGAAGUAUUCAAAAGUAAAUGAAUCGAAUGCUUUAGAGGAAGGAGAAGUCGUAACA
rnacentral:rRNA from 1 species